rnacentral:rRNA from 1 species
AGUGAACGCUGGCGGCAUGCCUAACACAUGCAAGUCGAACGGCAGCACAGUAAGAGCUUGCUCUUAUGGGUGGCGAGGGGCGGAUGGGUGAGGAAUACAUUGGCAUCUACUUUGGCGUGGGUGAUAACGUCGGGAAAUUUUCGCUAAUACCGCAUACGACCUACGGGUGAAAGCAGGGGAGCUUUGGACCUUGCGCUAGUGAAUGAGCCGAUGUCGGAUUAGCUAGUUUGCGGGGUAACGGCCCACCAAGGCGGCGAUCCGUAGCUGGUCUGAGAGGAGGAUCGGCCACACUGGAACUGAGACACGGUCCAGACUCCUGCGGGAGGCAGCAGUGGGGAAUAUUAGGCAAUGGGCGCAAGCCUGAUGCAGCCAUACCGCGUGGGUGAAGAAGGCCUUCGGGUUGUAAAGCCCUUUUGUUGGGAAAGAAAAGCAGCAGGUUGAUACCCCGCUGUUCUGACGGUACCCAAAGAAUAAGCACCGGCUAACUUCGUG